rnacentral:rRNA from 1 species
GAGUUUGAUCAUGGCUCAGAUUGAACGCUGGCGGCAUGCCUUACACAUGCAAGUCGAACGGCAGCACGGGAGCUUGCUCCUGGUGGCGAGUGGCGAACGGGUGAGUAAUGCAUCGGAACGUAUCCUGGAGUGGGGGAUAACGUAGCGAAAGUUACGCUAAUACCGCAUAUUCUGUGAGCAGGAAAGCGGGGGACCUUCGGGCCUCGCGCUCUUGGAGCGGCCGAUGUCGGAUUAGCUAGUUGGUGAGGUAAGGGCUCACCAAGGCGACGAUCCGUAGCAGGUCUGAGAGGAUGAUCUGCCACACUGGAACUGAGACACGGUCCAGACUCCUACGGGAGGCAGCAGUGGGGAAUUUUGGACAAUGGGGGCAACCCUGAUCCAGCCAUGCCGCGUGAGUGAAGAAGGCCUCGGUU